GUGCUCACUUCGGCAGCACAUAUACUAAAAUUGGAACAAUACAGAGAAGAUUAGCACAGCCCCUGCACAAGGAUGACACGCAAAUUCAUGAAGUGUUCCAUAUUUUU
rnacentral:snRNA from 1 species